AGUGAACGCUGGCGGUAGGCCUAACACAUGCAAGUCGAACGGCAGCACAGGAGAGCUUGCUCUCUGGGUGGCGAGUGGCGGACGGGUGAGGAAUACAUCGGAAUCUGCCCAGUCGUGGGGGAUAACGUAGGGAAACUUACGCUAAUACCGCAUACGACCUUCGGGUGAAAGAGGGGGAUCGCAAGACCUCUCGCGAUUGGAUGAGCCGAUGUCGGAUUAGCUAGUUGGCGGGGUAAUGGCCCACCAAGGCGACGAUCCGUAGCUGGUCUGAGAGGAUGAUCAGCCACACUGGAACUGAGACACGGUCCAGACUCCUACGGGAGGCAGCAGUGGGGAAUAUUGGACAAUGGGCGCAAGCCUGAUCCAGCCAUACCGCGAGGGUGAAGAAGGCCUUCGGGUUGUAAAGCCCUUUUGUUGGGAAAGAAAUCUUUCAGGCUAAUACCCUGGGAGGAUGACGGUACCCAAAGAAUAAGCACCGGCUAACUUCGUG
rnacentral:rRNA from 1 species